GAGAGUAUAGCUCAGUGGUAGAGUGUGUGCUUAGCAUGCACAAGGUCCUGGGUUCAAUCCCCAGUAUCUCCA
rnacentral:tRNA from 1 species